rnacentral:lncRNA from 1 species
GACUGUUAGCGUGUGCAGUGAGCAACAUUCCAGAUGGAGAGUGGACUUCAUACAGUCUCCUCGAAAACUGGUAGGGACCUGUUCCCUCAGCUGUUCCUUACACUUUGAAGAGUUGAGUUAUAACCCACGCUGGAUCCCAAACUGGAACUUUGUGAUCUAAAGGUCUUGUAAAUGUAUAAUAGGUUACUUAUCUGGUUCUGGAUGGUAAGUUUGUUAGAUCACCAAAAUAUAAAGUAAAAUACUUAUGCCCAAAUUACUUGUAACCUAUCAAUGAUCUUAUAUACGAUUACAACAACAUCCUGACAAUAGAAGAAGAUUAUUGAAAAAUUCGUUCUCGUUUAAACUAGCCUAACGGCAUGACUGAACAUAAUAAGCCAUAAAUACACUAAAUUAACACAGAACUUCUAAAAGAAACAGCCAACAUUCAAUAAAAGAAAACUAAUGUUCAUCUUCGAAAUCUCCAAUCGAUUACAUAGCUCCAAACUUGCAUUUCACACAUUUAGGGAGUCCAAGAAGUACCUGGGUGCAGAAAUUAGAGCAAGAAAAGAUGAAGAAAUCAGUAGCAAUAGAAUAGUGUCAAUCAGCAACUCAACAACAACAAAUUCAAUUUCCUUGAACCAUUUUUCGAACCCAGAUCAACUAAGAGGUCUUUGAGGUGUUAAAAUGACUCAUAGUAUACCCAAAAUGUAAUUCCAAGCAGUUUUUAACCAAGCCUGAUGCAGAGAAUUUUUCAGUCUUUUAGGGUGUGAAUCCAUCUGUACUGAAUGAGGGAAAGGCCUUAUAUAUAAGGCAGAAGUCUGUUGUGUGCCUUCCAAUACAAGGCAAUGGGAUUUUUU